UUAUGGCGGGUCGUGCGGGGCGGGCUUCGGCCUGGCCGGUUCUUGCUUCUCUCGCCGGUACUGCGACCCCGCACGAUCCGCCACCCA
rnacentral:antisense_RNA from 1 species